ACAUCUUGUGAUGCAGAUGAUGGUACACGUUGGGCUGCUGAUGCAAUAUGAACCAACGCUUGGUGAAAUUUGCUUGGCUAAUAUAGUAUUCUUUUCUAAAAUUCCCAAGCCUGGCAGGGUACAUUUGGCGAGGUUCUGAAAUUAUGUGGAAGAGUAUUGCAUACUCAGCUACUCCAAUCGUUUGGGGAUGGUGGACUUGAUUGCUGAAUCAAUGGUGCCAUGUCAUGCCCCCUAUAUUACCUUUGCCCAAAUCAAAGUGCAUAUAUUUCCACGAGGUACCUCUCAACUCUAAAUUUACUAAUCAAAGAAGUCAAAGCUACACUCCAGCCACUGAACUGGGUUUUACAUCAUUGCGGAUGCAUGAGUGUGUCAUUGGACUGUCAUGAUUUGUUGGUAUUAUUUGCAAGAGGCGUGUUUUAUCCAAUAGGUAUAAUAUAUUUUACUUGUAUUUUUCUGAAGAUUAUUGUAGCGAAGACGUUUGUCAAAAGUAUUCAGUAUUUACAACCCAUGGCAUGUCCCAUCUUAAGCCCCUCGAACUGACUUGUAAUCACACACCAGACUGGUGUAUCGGCAUUUGCCGUAAACUUUUACUCAAUCUAUAUAAUUCGUUAGUUCCAUUUCAGCUUCCAAAACAUUUGUUGGCUAUUUAAAACUUUGGCAAAGCCCCUUCUCGUAUAUAAUGGCUGGGAGUGUUAGAAGGUACCACGACACUACAACUAAGCAUCAGAGUGUUGAGUACAUUGAUUAUGAGUAGAAGGAUUUUAAGAUAAAUAUGGUAGUGUCUUACCAAUCAUGUGGCAUUAGCUAUUGUUUUGUCCAUUUCUUUUUGCUAGCCAUUUAUCUCUCCCCUACAGUGUAAUUUUUGUAUUGUUUGUAUCACAAAUAUGAAAUUAGCACAGGAUAAUGAUGUGUUUGAAGAAAAACACAUGCUACAGUUAGUAAACUAGAGGUGAGGAGGCUAUUUCAAAUACUGUGGUCGAGAGCGCUCGAGACUUCGAUUAUGGAGGCCAAAUAUUAUGGCAUAUUCUAUUAUUAUAUAGAGCUAGCUAGCUUCAAUUCAAUGGGUGACAGGUGAGCAGGAAAAGAGUGUAAUGAUAUAGUCUUGGGAGGGAGAGGAGAACUAGGUGUGGAUUUUAAAGUAGUAAUCAAUCUUGGGCCAUUCAUGCGGUUGCUUCGAUUGUACCAUGCAUGACAAAUUUAGAGUAAAUAAUCUUGGGUUGGAAUUGAUGAC